GACAUGGUGAUUCAGUGGUAGAAUUCUUGCCUUCCAUGUAGGAGACCCAGGUUUGAUUCCCAGCUAAGGCA
rnacentral:tRNA from 1 species